rnacentral:rRNA from 1 species
UAUUAUUUUUAUAUUUAAAAUAAUUUAAUUAUUAUAAUUAAAAAAAAAAUUAAAUAAAAUGGCAGUAUUUUAAAAAAUUAGAGGAUUUUGUUAUUUAAUAGAUAAUACACUUUAUAAUAUAUUUAAUUUUAUUAUAUUGUAUAUUGUUGUAAUAAAUUAAUAUUUUAAAAAUUAUUAAUAAUAAUUAUUUUAAAAUUUAAUUCAAAUAAAUAUGCAUAUUAUAAUUAAAUUUUAAAUGAAAUACAAUUAUUAAAAUAAAAUGGAUUUAUAUUUGUAAUAUUAUAAUAAAAUUGGAUUUAAUAGUAAAUUUUAAUAAAUAUUAAAUUUGAAUUUUAUAUAAAAUAUGUACAUAUUGCCCGUCGUUUUUAAUAAAAUUUAAAAUAA